AUGGAUGAUGGAACUGGUGGUGUUCAAGAAUCAAGUGACAUGUCGAUUUCAAGCGAUGAUGACACCAAUAAGCAACGGAAUGAAAGCAAUGUGGAACUUGAACAUGACCUUGGUGAAGCUCAACCAGAUGCCUUACUUGGAGACCCUAAAUUGGGGAUGACCUUUGAUACCGAGAAUGAGGUGCGAGAGUACUACAACAACUACGCUAAAGCAAAGGGCUUUGGUGUGACAAGAAGAAGCUCAAACAAUGAUGAUAAUGGACAGCUGAAGUAUCUUACACUUUCGUGCUCUCGGUAUGGUAAGACUCAGUCCAGAUCAAGAAAUAUGUUGAAACCAAAUCCAACAACCGGGUUAGGAUGUAAAGCUAAAAUCAAUAUUACCCGUGGUCCUGAUGGGAAGUUUCAUCUUUCAACUGUCAUUUUAGAUCAUAAUCAUACAUUAAGUCCACACAAGUAUCGGUUAUUCAGAUGCAACCAAAAGUUAGACUUCCAUGUGAAGCGAAGGCUUGAGCUGAAUGACCGGGCUGGAAUUCGAGUAAACAAGAAUUUCAAUUCUUUUGUUGUGGAAGCAAAUGGUCAUGAGAACCUAACUUUUGGUGAGAAGAAUGCUCGCAAUUUUCUAGAGAAAACAAGAAGGUUGAAACUUGGCAGAGGUGAUGCUGAAGCGGUUCGUGAUUUUUUUGUCAAGAUGCAAUCUGACAACCCAAAUUUUGUCAGUGUCAUGGACCUUGAUGAUGAAUCUCGACUAAGGAAUGUCUUUUGGGCUGAUGCAAGAAGUAGAGCAGUGUAUGACUCUUUUCAUGAUGUCGUUAGUUUUGACACAACAUAUUUGACGAACAAAUAUGAUAUGCCUUUUGCUUGUUUUGUUGGAGUGAAUCAUCAUGGACAAUCAGUUUUGCUUGGAUGUGCUCUAUUAUCAAAUGAAGAUACCGAAACAUUUGUUUGGUUAUUUCAAGCAUGGCUCACAUGUAUGUCAAAUCUCCAUCCAAAAGCUAUUGUAACCGAUCAAGCAAAAGCAAUUCAGAAUGGUGUGGAAAGAGUUUUUCCAGAAUCUCGAUAUAGAUGGUGUUUGUGGCAUAUAAUGAAGAAGAUACCAGAGAAGUUUGGUGGAUAUGAUGAGUAUGAUCACAUUAAGGCUGCUAUUGGCAAGGCAGUUUAUGAUUCAUUAACAAUUACAGAGUUUGAAGUUGCUUGGAUGCAUAUGCUUGAGAAGUAUGAUCUUGGUGAUAACGAAUGGCUUAAAGGGCUUUACCGCCAUAGGCACCGAUGGGUUCCAGCAUUUGUGAAAGAUGCCUUUUGGGCAGGUAUGUCUACUACACAACGUAGUGAGAGUAUGAAUGCCUUCUUCGAUGGGUAUGUUAAUGCAAAAACUACAUUGAAGCAUUUUGUUAGCCAAUAUGAGAAUGCUCUUCGUGAUAAAGUUGAGAAGGAGAAUAUUGCUGAUUUCAACUCUUUCAAUUCAACCAUACCUUGCAUCACACACUUUGAUAUCGAGAAGCAAUUUCAAUCAAUCUAUACAAAUUCGAAGUUCAAAGAAUUUCAAGAAGAGCUAACACACAAGAUGUAUUGUGAUCGGAAGUUAAUAGAAAAAAAAGGGGCAAUGGAAACAUAUGAAAUAACUGAGGAUGUGCUGAUUGACAAAGAAAAAGGGUGGAGAAAAGAUAUUGUGUACCAUGUACAAUUCAGUGAGGAAGAGUUUGAAGUUAAGUGUUCAUGUCGCCACUUUGAGUUCAGGGGGAUUCUCUGUAGGCAUGUGUUAUGUGUGCUCACUCACAAGAAAAUCAAGGAGGUUCCUCUACAAUACAUUCUUGAUCGGUGGAGAAAAAAUGUGAAAAGAAAACAUAACUUCAUCAGAUGCACAUAUGGCGGCAUGGAAAAUACUCCUGUUGCAAAUCGUUUUGAUAGAUUGUGCAACAGUUUCUACCCAGUUGCAGAGAUAGGCGCCAUGUCAGAUGAUUCAUGCAAUUCAUUGAUUGAAGAUCUUUGCACCUUGAAAAUUAAGUACUCUAGCAACUCAAGUUCUGAAAAUAAUAAGGAUCAGGUUAGUGCAACAAAAGAUCAAUUGCAGGAAGAGGCGCCUUCUGAUGGGAAGACAACAAGUAAAACUAUACUAAGCCCAAUAGCUGUUAGAUGUGCUGGACGUCCUCCUUCAUUGAGAAAAGAAUCCAAGGUUGAUAAGCUUAUUCGUCAAGCAAAUGAAAAGAAGAAGAAAGCUGAACUAAGGGAGAAGAAAAAGGCUGCACAAGAAGAGAAGAAGGCCGCACAAAAGGAAGCUGAACAAAAGGUAUUCUCCCUAUAUUAUCUUUUUAUUCUGUGA
rnacentral:rRNA from 1 species